GGACCCUUAGCUCAGUUGGUUAGAGUAGGAGACUCAUAAUCUUUUGGUCCGGGGUUCGAGCCCCCGAGGGUCCAC
rnacentral:tRNA from 1 species